rnacentral:rRNA from 1 species
GCAAGUCGAGCGGUAACAGAGAGUAGCUUGCUACUUUGCUGACGAGCGGCGGACGGGUGAGUAAUGCUUGGGGAUCUGCCCGGUCGAGGGGGAUAACCGUUGGAAACGACGGCUAAUACCGCAUACGCCCUACGGGGGAAAGCAGGGGACCUUCGGGCCUUGCGCGAUUGGAUGAACCCAAGUGAGAUUAGCUUGUUGGUGAGGUAACGGCUCACCAAGGCGACGAUCUCUAGCUGGUCUGAGAGGAUGACCAGUCACACUGGGACUGAGACACGGCCCAGACUCCUACGGGAGGCAGCAGUGGGGAAUAUUGCACAAUGGGGGAAACCCUGAUGCAGCCAUGCCGCGUGUGUGAAGAAGGCCUUCGGGUUGUAAAGCACUUUCAGUGGUGAGGAAAGGAGGUUGGCUAAUACCUGACCUCUGUGACGUUAACCACAGAAGAAGCACCGGCUAACUCCGUGCCAGCCGC